UCAAGAAGAAGAAAAAAAACCUAGCAAGCAUAUCCAAAAUCACAAGUCUUUUCAAUGAAAGCUCGAAACUUUAUCAUAUCAAUUAUGAAAAUGACAACAAAGAAGAAGAAGUUGAAAUUAUUAGCAAAUAGACAACUUUUCAAAGUUCAACAAAAGAAGAAGAUGAAGAAAUCGAUUUCAAUUACAGAAAAUCAAAUGAAUAUUGUUGAUCAGUUAUGACAUGGGUAUGCAUUAUUUGACAUUUGUAAACGAGGCAUUUCAUUGGAUCGGUAUUUUGGGAAAUAUUCUAAGGAUUCAAGAAAUUAUUCGGUGGUUUCAUUUAGUAUUUCUAAUAAAGUGUACAGAGAUAUACCAUUGCCAGAGCAAUUAUUAUGCUUGAAGGGCUACAUCUAUAUUGGUGAUUUAAUAUUGGAUGAUAUGCUUUGUGCUUAUUCUACUUCUAAUCUUCCGACGAAAGGAACAUUUAAGCUAUGGGUAUUGAAAGACUAUGGUGUCAAGGAAUAUUGGACUUCAUUGUUAAACAUCGAAGAUCCUUGCAUUAGUUAUAUGGCCAUACCAAAAUAUAGAUUUGCAGAUGGUGAACUGUUGUACUGGUUCUUAAGUUAUCAACAUAAAGCGCAUGCAUUUAAGACAUACAAUGGACCAUUUGGAUUAUGGCCUCAGUGUGAUACCCUCCAGAAUGGAAUCACUUUUACAGAAAGCUUAAUCUCUCCUAAAUCACUUAUUUAGUGUUUGUUUAUGUAUGAUUGAGACAUUUUUUAUUUACCAUAUUACAACCUCAGAA